rnacentral:rRNA from 1 species
CGAAGGUAGCAUAAUCAGUAGUCUUUUAAUUGAAGGCUGGAAUGAAUGGUUGGAUGAAAUAUUAACUGUUUCAUUUAAAUUUAUUAUAGAAUUUUAUUUUUUAGUUAAAAAGCUAAAAUUUUUUUAAAAGACGAGAAGACCCUAUAAAUCUUUAUAUUUUUUUUUAUAAUUGUUAUUUAGAUAUAUUAAAUUAUUAUUAUAUAUAAAUAUUUUAUUGGGGUGAUAUUAAAAUUUAAUAAACUUUUAAUUUUUAAUAAACAUAAAUUUAUGAAUAUAUGAUCCAUUAUUAGUGAUUAAAAAUUUAAGUUACUUUAGGGAUAACAGCGUAAUUUUUUUGGAGAGUUCAUAUCGAUAAAAAAGAUUGCGACCUCGAUGUUGGAUUAA